GUGUGUUUAACUAUGGCGAUAAGAAGUAUAUAAUAAUUUAAUUGCAUAAAAUUUUUUUAGGCUCUGUCUUAAAGGUACCUCUUGUUAUUAUUAGCAGUUAGUUUUUUAGUAAAAUUAGCGUUUUAUAAGAUAUUAUUAUAUAAAAGGGGAUAGGACACAGUGCCAGCAUCCGCGGUUAAUCUGUUUUCUUUGCUUUUAUUGGAUUGAGUUGUGGAUGAUUAAAGUUAAGGUUUGGUGAAAUUUUCUUAUGUUUUUAUUUAACAUCUAUGUAAAGGUGAGUUAGUUUAAAUGACAGGGAUUAGAUACCCCAUUAAUAACUAAAUUAAUUUAUAUCUAGUUUUAUAACUAAAAUAGUUUGGCAGCGAGUUAAUCCUAUUGGGGGAAGGUGCGUUGUAAAGGACGAUCCACCCAUUAAAUUACCUGUGUUAUGUUGGUGUAUAUCUGGUUAGAUAUUAUUGUUUAAUAACUGAAUUUGUGUAUACAUUUUUAAGCCAAGUCUAUGUGCUGCUUGCAUAGGGUUUCGUGCGUUACAUUAAUAAUAUAGAUGUUUUGUAGAUAUUAUUUAUUUUAGGACUCAAAAGUAAUGUGGAAUUAAAUUGUUCAUGUGAAAGAGGUUUAACUUGGGUACACACCGCCCGUCACCCUCGAUAUUUAUUUGAGGUAAGUCGUAACAUGGUAACCCCAAAUGAAUUUGGGGUUAAUUACUUGUUUUA
rnacentral:ncRNA from 1 species